GACUUCCUUUUUGUCACAUAGACUGAAGUUGGAACAAUAUAGAGAUUAGCGUGGUUCCUGCACAAGGAUGAUACACAGGCAACACAACUAGAACAAGAUAUUUUCAACUGCUAAAGGACCCAAACUGGAUGAAUUGAUAUAAGGCAAUGUGACAGGUAGCUCUUAACAAGUAUAACAGAAAUUAUAUAUACACAUAAGUGUUGUUCCUUUCAAAAUAAUCAACCCCUGAGUUACAAAGUUAUAUAUAAAGAAUAUAUAGCCCUAGUCGGUUUGGCUCAGGUGGUAGAGCGUUGACCUGCAGACCAAAGGGUCUCAGGUU